rnacentral:rRNA from 1 species
GACGAACGCUGGCGGCGUGCCUAACACAUGCAAGUCGAACGGGGCCGGGGGCAACUCCGGUUCAGUGGCGGACGGGUGCGUAACACGUGAGGAACAUGACCACCGGUGGGGGAUAGCCGGCCCAACGGCCGGGUAAUACCGCAUACGCUGCCUUGAGCUCAUGCUCGGGGUCGGAAAGCAGCAAUGCGCCGAUGGAGUGCCUCGCGGCCUAUCAGCUAGUUGGUGAGGUAAUGGCUCACCAAGGCGACGACGGGUGGCUGGUCUGAGAGGAUGGCCAGCCACAUUGGGACUGAGACACGGCCCAGACUCCUACGGGAGGCAGCAGUGGGGAAUAUUGCGCAAUGGCCGAAAGGCUGACGCAGCGACGCCGCGUGUGGGAUGACGGCCUUCGGGUUGUAACCAC